GAAUUGGUGGCCAAGCGGUAAGGCCUGUGAUUGCAAAUCACAAGACCCCGUGUUCAACCCACGGUCGAUUCU
rnacentral:tRNA from 1 species